GUGCUCGCUUCGGCAGCAUAUAUACUAAAAUUGGAACGAUACAGAGAAGAUUAGCAUGGCCCCUGCUCAAGGAUGACACACAAAUUUGUGAAGUGUUCCAUAUUUAA
rnacentral:snRNA from 1 species